rnacentral:rRNA from 1 species
UUUGAUAUCAAGCCAUAUUCCUUCGSUCUAUUGUGGKGAACAUAUUAACUGAUCGAAUCGUCAUUUGGGUAAAUCAUUCAAGUUUCUGCCUAUCAGUUUUCGAUGGUAGYGUAUKGACUACCAUUGCAUUAACGGGUAGMMMYAAGUGUGUCGGUCGGGAGACGGAGCCGGAGAAAGGCUACCACAUCUGAGGAGGCAGCGGUGGUGGAAUUACCCAAUCCUGAUUCCGGGAGGUAGUGACAGGAAAUAGAAAUCUGGACCAYUUUCGUGUUUCGGAAUUUAA